UACGUAGGGCGCAAGCGUUGUCCGGAAUUAUUGGGCGUAAAGAGCUCGUAGGCGGUCUGUCGCGUCUGCCGUGAAAACCCGAGGCUUAACCUCGUGGCUUGCGGUGGAUACGGGCAGACUAGAGGUAGGUAGGGGAGAAUGGAAUUCCCGGUGUAGCGGUGAAAUGCGCAGAUAUCGGGAGGAACACCGGUGGCGAAGGCGGGAUCCUGGGCCAGUACUGACGCUGAGGAGCGAAAGCGUGGGGAGCAAACAGG
rnacentral:rRNA from 1 species